CCAAAAUCUGGAAGUCAUCACCACAAGAACAUCUAUGAUCAAAUUACUAAACUAAGAGUAUUCUAAGAAGCUAAAACAAAUAAAAGCCAGUCCAUGCCGAAAGUUCAAGGCAUCAAGACAUGAAGGAGAAGAUCCAGUCCAAGCUAGAAGCAUUAGCUCACCCUGAAGAUCCGGUGUGACGAAGACUGGCUAGAGUUGCGGUUGAGUUGAAGACGAUGACACGUUUGCUGCACUCCACAAAUAACAAAGAAGAAAACAAUAAAAGUAGGGGUCAGUACAAAACACGGGUACUGAGUAGAUAUCAUCGGCCAACUCAAAAUAGAAAACAGUAUAUAUUAAGCAAUAUCAUAAAAUCAACUAAUAUCCUUAGCAUGCAGCAUUUACAGUUACCAUAACCCUUGUUUACAACACCAAGCACAUCAAUGAGGACUCACGCCUCCUCAUCAUACUCAUUUGAGAAUUAGGUUCAUUAGAUUUGAAUAUAUUAUCAUCUUUCAAGAUUCAUUAUCUUUAUUCCCCUUGUGUCGGUACGUGACACUCCGAUCCUAAUUCUAUCCUGGUGUCGGAACGUGACACCCGAUCCAUAUUCUAUCCUGGUACCGGAACGUGGCACCCGAUCCAUAUACUAUCCUGGUGUCGAAACGUGACACCCGAUCCAUAUACUAUCCUGGUACCGGAACGUGGCACCCGAUCCAUAUACUAUCCUGGUGUCGGAACGUGACACCCGAUCCAUAUACUAUCCUGGUACCGGAACGUGGCACCCGAUCCUCAUAUACUAUCCUAGUACCGGAACGUGGCACCCGAUCCCCUAAUCUCACUACUUUCGUUCAUCAAGCCUUCUUUUAUACCAAAGCAUCAUCAUUAACAAAGUAGAUUAGGGUUUCUUUUUCAAGAUUUAGGAUUCAAUAGCUUCAUCAUGCUUAUUUUAUCACAAUUACAUAAUCACAUUCAUGCAAGCAUACAAUUAAGCAUAUAGAAGGGUUUACAAUACUACCAAUACAUAUCAUUCGCUAUUAAGAGUGUACUACGAAUAGCAUAAAAACCAUAACCUACCUCCACCGAAGACUAGUGAUCAAGCAAGAAUUUCCCAAAGCCUUGUGUUUUUCCUCUUCGUUCGUCUCUCUCUAUCGAUUCUCCUUCCCUCUCUUUGUUCUUUCUAUUCUCUUUAUUCAAACCCUCUUUCUUUUACCCUAAUUAGUAUAUAAUUAAGAAUAAAGAUGGCAAUAAUAACCCACUAAUUAACUUAAGGUUACCUCUUUUAACCCCAAGUAAUUAGACUUAUUAACAUUAACCCUCUAACUUUAUAAUUAAAGUAGGAAUAGUCCAAAACGUCCCUUAAAACGUAUAAAGAAAUCCGACCCAGACUGGGAUUACGCAAUCUGUGACGGCCCGUCGUGCCUGCGACGGUCCAUCCUGCUGCUCCGUCACAGACUUCAGAGACUCAAUUUCUCUGAAGGGUCUGUGACGGUCCGUCACACCUGUGACGGUCCGUCCUGCCAUUCCGUUACGAAGUUCAGAGAGUCGAUUUCAGUACCCAAUUUUCAGAUUUUCUAAGUGUUUUGAAACGAGACCCUGCGACGGUCCGUCGUGCCCAUGACGGUCCGUCGUGCCCAUGACGGUCCGUCGUGGGGUCCGUCGCCUCAGCCUGUUUUUUCCAGAAAUAAAAUCUGCUGCUCAAAACGACUAAACAUGUCGUUACAUACUAAUUAUCCUCUUAAUAAACCGUCACAUUAUUAAUGCAAGCUACUGCCAAUUGAUUGUUUUUAAAAAUUAUUGAAGUAAAUUAUCAUACAUUCAAGUGGCUAAAUAAAAAUCACCGAUAAACUUAAAAGUCUGAUUAUGUUCAUCUUAAUUAUUCUUACGUUUCAAUUAUGUGAUGUUACUUCAUAGGUAACUUUUUUUUCAAAUAUAUUAAAGGUUUUAAAACAAAUCUUAAAUAUUUAAAAAUUAUAUUUAAAAAAAAGUGCAUGAAUUAAUUCGGGAUGUAUUACUUGUUUACCUUUAAUCAUAAAUUUUUAAUUCAAUCUUGAAAGAAAGUGUCGUCCUGAAUAAGCGGCUCAACCUAAAUUUAAUUGGGGUUUCGAUUCGGACUCGAAUAAUUUUGUAUGUCAUUUUAAGGAAUCUAUAAUUUUAGUAGUGUUUAUGACGAUUUUGAUAUUAUAAUCGAAUCAUUGAUUGAAUAAGGUUUAGUUAGUAAUGAGUGGGUAGUGGAUUGAUUUAUAAAUUAUAUUAAUAAAUUAAAAUUAUAAUCAAUAGUUGAACUCCAAGUAUUUUAAAAAUAUUUAAAGAGUUAAAUUUUAAAACAAUUAAAAAGUGGUCAAUUUUGAACCCAAAGGUGGAUGACAAGGGUAUUUUGGAGCCAACAGGUGGAUGAAAAGGGCAUUUUGGAGCCAAUAGGUGGAUGGAGGGUAAUUUUGUACCAUUUUCAAUACUUUAAGGGUAUUUUAGGCCCUUUUCCGUAAAAUAUUUAGUCAUCCAAAAAAAUAGAAUUAUAACUAAAGCUAAUUAAAAUAUAAAAUAAAAAAUAAAAAAUAAAAAUAGAAUUAUAACUAAAGCUAAUUUGUUUUAAAAGAAUUAUAACUAAAGCUUAACCAACAAAACAUGUGAUAGAGUUCACUGAAUAUGACAUUCUUCCGGCUAUAUCUAAAAUAGUACUAACAACUAUAAGCAAUUUAGCAGCAAAUAACAAGAAAUUAAAGAUGAUCGCAGUCCCAAAAGCAAUCCAACAGUACAAAGGAAAGAAGAAAAAAAUCAUCAAGCUUCAAAUUAUUAAACAGAAAGAUAUUAAAAAGAAAAUGGGAUAGAGAGUACUAUACACUGUUUAUGGUUUCAUGGUAGUUUGGAGCUUUAAGCUGGUCGGAUUUGUUGGAAAUGUGAACCCGAAUAGAUCUGGUCGUCCUUACAGUGGUCACCGCUUGUUA
rnacentral:lncRNA from 1 species